rnacentral:lncRNA from 1 species
GACGCAGGAAGUCACAAACACCAGUGUGCCAAAGACAUUCAAGGGGACAUGACUCAGUCUUGGCCCUCCCAGCAUGCCUUAGGGGGUGACCAGGCCCAGCGCUUCCUCUACAAUCCCAAGGUGUGUACUGUGUGUGUGUGUGUGUGUGUGUGUGUGUGUGUGUGUGUGUGUGUGUGUGUGUGUGUGUGUGUGUGUGUGUGUGUGUGUGUGUGUGUUUGUGUGUGUGUGUGUUUGUGUGUGUAUGUGUGUGUGUGUGUGUGUGUGUGUGUGUGUGUGUGUGUGUGUGCGUGUGCGCGUACGUGUGUGAAUAUGUGUGUGUCUGUGUGUGUAUGUUCGUGGUUGAGUUGCAGGGCUAACUUCCAAUAUGUGAAAUUUCCGAGGUACAUUUUUAUUUUUAUAUAUAUAUACAUUAAUAUCAGCUUCUCUGUGCUUCUCUGGUUUCCCGAAGGAUGCAAAGCAGCACACAGUGCUGCAGAGACAAGGUACGUGUCCCACCUCCCCUCCCCCCGUUUCAUAAGUACAGCUGUAGUUUGAAGUCAUUUACAUAUGUUUCACUUCUUCACAUACAGUCAAAGUUUGAUUUUGUUUUACGUAAUCUUCCCUCAAUACUUCUCUCGCCUCUCUCUCUCUCUCUCUCUCUCUCUCUCUCUCUCUCUCUCUCUCUCUCUCUCUCUCUCUCUCUCUCUCUCUCUCCCCCUCUCUCUCUCUCUCUCUCUCUCUCUCUCUCUCUCUCUCUCCCUCUCUCUAUCUUUUCCCGCUCUUUUGCUGUAUUCUUCUUAUCCUCAGCCCGGGGCGAUGUCCAGAUGCGAAUGACCCGACCCCCUCAUGUGGCACCCCACAAAUCCAUGCUGGCUGACGACCUGGAUCUCAGCAGCGAUGACGAGGACAAUCGCAGGGCCAAUCGUCAGUCCUCCUGGGAUGAUCACAGCCUGACGGCUCCGCGCACGAACACCCAUAGCGCGCGAGUGCGACAUUCCAGCUCCGACUCCUCUGGCUCAGAGUCGUCGGGCGAGUCGGAGAGCAGUAGCCAACGCUCCCGGAGUCCCGUCCCCGAAGCCAGCUCUGACCCGGGGUCGCCUGGCAACGCACGGCCGCUGCCCACCGAGGAGGUAAACGAUGAGGGACGCUUGAUUCACUGUCUGUCUGACUCUUCCUGUUGGCAUGCCCCGGCUGCUGUCUGGCUCUAUCGCCCUAUCUCUCCCUAUCUCUCUAUCUCUCGCAUUUUUGUUUCCUUUUGCACGCCUUCAGGGCAGUCGUCCACAGGGAGCGGUAGAGAGGCUGCUUUCUUUUUGUUUUUUUUAGGGUCAGGUGGGGGAAGGGCCGGAGGAAUCCGGAAUGUUGGCUAAGGAGAGAGGAGGCGACGGGGCGCACAUGGGGGGAGGGGGGGGGGGGGAGGGGAGGGGGGGGGGACGGGGGGGGAGGGAGGUAGCGAGAGGAACAGCGGAGAGGAAUUAGGAGUCUGGGUGUCAUGUCAACAAGGCCGCUCUUAAAGAGGAAAGCCCUAGGGAGUUAGGAGUCGCGGGGCUCGUGUUUCAUGCUAACAUUUCAACGGCAAUAAGCAUAACUCUCUCCAAAGGUUAUCAGGGGGGGGGGGGGGGGGGGGGGGGGGGGGGGGGGAGGGGGGGGGGGGGGUGGGGGGGGGGGGGGGAGCUGUGCUCCAACACCGGCCCGUGGUCAGACUGGAACAGGGCCAGGGCACCAAAGUCCAUAUAGGUGUGUUUCUCCGCUGUUGUCGGGAGAUGUGCCUGCUCUGGGUCCAGCCACAGCGGCUCCCUCAGUAUGCGAGCGAUCGCGAAAAAGGAGGAGGAGUGGACAGCCGAGGCAGGGGCGUGCUCUGGGCUGUUUGCUCUGGUGGAGUGUAGUGGGAAAGCCGUCUCCUCCUUUUAUGAAUGGCAGGCCCUGUGUGACAUAGCAGGCUCCCCCUUUUCCCCCCCCCUCAAUGCUCCACUCCACCACCAUACCGGGGACCCUAUAGUGGAGUGGGGGGAGGGGGCUCGCCAUGUGUUUUUCAUCUACGUGGAGGGUUUGAGUGUCUUCACAGAAAUAGGAGGGGACUCGGUGCAGGCGGGAGGUGGGAGGAGGGGUGGAGUGGGCGGCUUGCGCGGGGUGGUGGUGUUGGAGCCCUGCUGGAAGUGGCCCCUCUAAAGUUCCAGGUAUAGGGAGGCGGAGGAAGAGAGAGCAGGAGAGCGAGAGAAGGAGAGAGUAGGAGAGAGAGAGAGAGAGAGAGAGAGAGAGAGAGAGAGAGCGAGAGAGAGAGGAGCAAGGGGAGGAGAGACGGUACAAGAGAUGCAGUGUCCUCUCUGGAAAGAGGGUGAGAGGGGUGAGGGGGGAGUCGCUGUUUGA